rnacentral:rRNA from 1 species
CUAAGGAGAGGCAGAGAUGCGUAUCCGAUGGACAGCAGGUUUAAGAUUCCUGCACCCCUUGUUAUCAGAACUGCGGGGACACGGGAAGGGAAGCAGAGCCGGGAAUGGAAAGCCCGGUGCAAGCGAAGUAGUCGCAGGGUUGGAAAAUCCGCCCUGCAUAAGACGAAGGCGUGAUGCGGAGCGAAAUGAAGUAGUGAAGCUGCGGCCCCUUCCUGUCGAGAAAAGCCGCUAUCGUGUAGCAAGGGCCCGUACCGUAAACCGACACAGGUGGAUGAGGAGAGGAUCCUAAGGCCGGCGGGAGAAGUGUUGUUAAGGAACUCGGCAAAAUGACUCCGUAACUUCGGGAGAAGGAGUGCUGCGCAAGCAGCCGCAGAGAAAUGGCCCAAGCAACUGUUUAGCAAAAACACAGGUCUAUGCGAAACCGAAAGGUGAGGUAUAUGGGCUGACGCCUGCCCGGUGCUGGAAGGUUAAGGGGAGAGCUUAGCGCAAGCGAAGGUUUGAACUUAAGCCCCAGUAAACGGCGGCCGUAACUAUAACGGUCCUAAGGUAGCGAAAUUCCUUGUCGGGUAAGUUCCGACCCGCACGAAAGGCGUAAUGAUUUGGGCACUGUCUCAACAACACACCCGGUGAAAUUGAAAUACCAGUGAAGAUGCUGGUUACCCGCGCCAGGACGGAAAGACCCCAUGGAGCUUUACUCCAGCCUGAUACUGGGAUUCGGUAUUGCAUGUACAGGAUAGGUGGGAGGCUAAGAACUCAUGGCGCCAGCCGUGAGGGAGCCGAUGUUGGGAUACCACCCCUGCAGUACUGGGUUUCUAACCUGCGCCCGUGACCCGGGCGGGGGACAAUGUCAGGCGGGGAGUUUGACUGGGGCGGUCGCCUCCGAAAGGGUAACGGAGGCGCUCAAAGGUCUCCUCAGGAUGGUUGGAAACCAUCCAGAGAGUGCAAAGGCAGAAGGAGGCUUGACUGCGACACCGACGGGUGGAGCAGGUACGAAAGUAGGACUUAGUGAUCCGGUGGCAUAAAGUGGGAUUGCCAUCGCUCAACGGAUAAAAGCUACCCUGGGAUAACAGGCUUAUCACUCCCAAGAGUUCACAUCGACGGAGUGGUUUGGCACCUCGAUGUCGGCUCAUCGCAUCCUGGAGCUGGAGCAGGUUCCAAGGGUUGGGCUGUUCGCCCAUUAAAGCGGUACGCGAGCUGGGUUCAGAACGUCGUGAGACAGUUCGGUCCCUAUCCGGCGCGGGCGCAGGAUAUCUGAGAGGAGCUGUCCUUAGUACGAGAGGACCGGGAUGGACCGUCCGCUGGUGGACCGGUUGUCAUGCCAAUGGCACGGCCGGGUAGCCAAGACGGGAAGGGAUAAACGCUGAAGGCAUCUAAGCGUGAAGCCCCCCUCAAGAUGAGAUAUCCAUACUCGAAAGAGUGAGAGACCCCUUAGAGACGAUGAGGUAGAUAGGGCAGAGAUGGAAGUGCAGCGAUGCAUGGAGUUGACUGUUACUAAUCGGUCGAAAGCCAA